rnacentral:rRNA from 1 species
UACGAAGGGGGCUAGCGUUGCUCGGAAUCACUGGGCGUAAAGCGCACGUAGGCGGCUUUUUAAGUCAGGGGUGAAAUCCUGGAGCUCAACUCCAGAACUGCCUUUGAUACUGAGAAGCUUGAGUCCGGGAGAGGUGAGUGGAUCUGCGAGUGUAGAGGUGAAAUUCGUAGAUAUUCGCAAGAACACCAGUGGCGAAGGCGGCUCACUGGCCCGAUACUGACGCUGAGGCACGAAAGCGUGGGGAGCAAACAGG